rnacentral:rRNA from 1 species
CCUACGGGCGGCAGCAGUGGGGAAUAUUGGACAAUGGGGGGAACCCUGAUCCAGCGACGCCGCGUGAGUGAAGAAGUAUUUCGGUAUGUAAAGCUCUAUCAGCAGGGAAGAAAGAAAUGACGGUACCUGACUAAGAAGCCCCGGCAAACUACGUGCCAGCAGCCGCGGUAAUACGUAGGGGGCAAGCGUUAUCCGGAUUUAUUGGGUUUAAAGGGUGCGUAGGCGGAGCGUUAAGUCAGUGGGCAAAUUGAGGGGCUCAACCCCUUCCCGCCAUUGAAACUGGCGCUCUUGAGUGGAAGAGAAGUAUGCGGAAUGCGUGGUGUAGCGGUGAAAUGCAUAGAUAUCACGCAGAACCCCGAUUGCGAAGGCAGCAUGCCGGCUUCCUACUGACGCUGAAGCACGAAAGCGUGGGGAUCGAACAGGAUUAGAUACCCCUGUAGUC